rnacentral:lncRNA from 10 species
CAGCUCCUUCCCGCAGCUGGUACUUCCGACUUCGCGUGACUCCGGCUGCGUCCGGGGAGCGGGGUUUUUAUGGGUUCAGAAGGGAGGAAGUGCAUGCUGAUUGGUCCAUGGGUGGCCAUGGGCGGGCCUGGAAAAAGAACCAUUAGUGCUCACUCCAGGCCACAGACUCCGACCGGAACUGACAGCGCGGCCUCCAGGAUUGAAGCCAUCCCUGGCUUGAAGUAGCCUAAGGAGAUUUGCUAGUUUGAGUCCUGGGAGAUGAGAUGGGGAAGAUGGGCCCAAGCUGCAACAUGAAGGUCCAUGAUGAACAGUUGGCAUCUCCUACAGUGCCUGCCACUUGGUAAUGUUCAAUGCAGCCAAGGGAGCUAAGGUAAUGAACAAAACAGAGAAGUUCCUACCCUCCCUGAUGUUCAUUCUAGCAAAUGGAGACAGAUGAUAGAAACUGCACAUCAUUGAGCAAGAGGGACACCAUGGAUAAUGGAAAGAUCUACGGCAAGGCUGGCUGUCUGCCCUGUCUAAGGAGGACGUACUGGACCAUCCUGCUCUGCACAUCCAGAUGUGUCCAUGAAUACAUCCAUAAAACGAUGGCCUGUGGAAUCCUAUAGGAAAAUGAUCCAGAGCCUGGGCGGUCAGAAGGAACAAACACUUGAUUUACAAAAUAAAUCUUCUAUGUUUAUGUUUUAAAGACACACAGAGGAAAAACAUUUUUAAAUUCAUGAUUUCCCCCCCCAGAUUUUAACUAUUGUAAUCUCUUUCUUUCCUGAGCCUUAGGCAUCUUCAUUAUAAACCAAAAGAUAUAACUUGAGAUUUUCCCAGGGUUUAUAUACUCGUUAGAGUUGGAAACAUGAAAAUGGCAAUUUGGGAUGUCUCUUUGGAGUCAAAAACCUUAUAAAAAUAUAAUGUACUUUCUCUCUCUCUUCAUUUCCUCAUUUUUCUGGUCAAAGCUAGAAGAGUAAGAUGUCUUUGAAACUAUUAAGAUAAUUUUUAAGACAUGGUAUAAUUGUGAAUUUUAUAUAGAUAUAAAAUGAACAGGUAUCAAAGACUUUAUUAGCUUAUUAAUUAAUAAGAGAACGGGUAAAUGUUAUAAUUGGUAUAAAAAGCAGAGGCAUAUGUAGGAAAUUAGGAAUCUGAAAUGAAUUUACAAAUUGAUGGUCUAUCCAUGAGGCAAUAAUUGGUUGCAUUCCACCAGUCACAAUUGAUUUGCAUUUCUAUGAACAAGAGAUGGAUGAGCUAGACAGGAUAGUCACUCACUUUUUGUUCUGAGCCCAUUUCAAAGUCUCAGUUGUUUUCCUUACUAAAACAUCUAUCUCUAAUAUCCCAUUAUAUGUAUUAAUAUCCCAUUAUAUAUUAUAUUUUAUAAUAUAUAAUGUAUCCCAUUAUAAUAUAUAUUUUUUAUAAUAUAUAAUAUAUAUCCCAUUAUCCCAUAUAUAUUCCCAUAUAUAUUAUAUAAUAUAAAAUAUAUCCUAUUAUAAUAUAUAUUAUAUAUUUUAUAUAUAAGUGAUUUCCAAAUGAGUUCUAUAUAUAUUAUAAAUUAAUAUCCCAUUAUAUAUACAUUUGCAUAAAUAUAUGUAAUGGGAUAUUAAUUUUUAAUAUACAUAGAACCCCUUUGGAAAUCCCUUUCCACAAUUACAAGCAAUAGAUAUUUUGGCAGAGUUUUAGUUAUGGGGUGAUUAGAUUUUCUAGCAUGUUGAGAUUUAGUGGGUCUUAAUUUACCCAAAGUCAUUUAACCAAAGUAAAAUUGAGAUUCAAACCCAGAUAGAUUCUGAUUUUAAAAAGCCAUGUUUCUGUCUCCUCCCCCUCAAAAAAAUGGGUGAAAAAAUGGUGGCUCAGGGUCAGAUACAAGCUUUUCACUUGUAAGGGUAAAAUAAUUAAGUCAUAAAUGAUUAGAGCUAAAUAAACCUCUCUUAACCAAUAUCUUCCUGAGAAGCACAAUAGUUGACAAUAAAGCCGAGAAGCACUGGGAAGCUGAG